CACCGCGGUUAUACGAGAGGCCCAAGUUGAUAGACACCGGCGUAAAGGGUGGUUAAGAUAUCCUAAAACUAAAGCCGAAUACCUUCAAAGCCGUUAUACGUACCCGAAGGUAAGAAGCCCAACUACGAAAGUGGCUUUACAUAUUCUGACCCCACGAAAGCUAUGACA
rnacentral:rRNA from 1 species